GUGACCCACAGCGCGCCAUACCAUUGGCUAGACUGGUGUCGUCUGCAUCUCUCCGUGGCUGCUUCGUUCAUGCCGCACACGCUGACGCUUUUUUUGCACGGCGAUGACCAUGUCGACAAGAUCUCCGAAGUUCGCUACGAAGUACAGAUAUGGAAAGAAAAGGAAGAGACAGAGGGAGUUCAACUUUAAGAAGCGCUCUGCACCGCUACUUUACAACGACAUCGAGAACGUCCCGCUACUCGAGUCAAGCGACGACUGAAGCCCCCAACUGCGAAUUAAGCCUAGCUCCCGUUAGCGCUCGCAACAGCGGCAGCGUUUAAUCAGCGGUUCGGCAUGUCACUGCUAUGCUGCAGCCAGAAGAUUUGCAACGCAUUCAUAAAGAAGCCGAAGAAAAACUUCAAGUGCUAGUUUCAACUCCUGCAACUGAGCGAAAAGUGGACCUUUUGGAUCGCGCUGACGACGCUGCUGCCGGGACGAACGAGCUUGCUACGAGCUUCAUCAUCGCGAGUUUGGACUCUCUGAAUGCGUUGCUGUUAUGUGUGAAGUGUACGAUGUGUGGUGCUAGCACCACUGUGAGAAAAGAUGUGUCCAUGCCGCCUGAAAGAACAUCUAACAAGUUGUAUUGCUUGGGCUUCGACUGCAGACCAGCUCGUCAGAUUUUCGAACAGAAUCCAUCUUUUUUCCUUGCUACAUGACACAGCAGUUUGAUCUACAAUUGAUUUAUCAUUGUGACAGCAGUAUUUCUGUUUGCUGAUAGCCACCUGUGCUUCUCUUAUCUGGAACGGGCUAAUGGCUAAUUUGCUUGCUGUCCCGUCAUUUUACUGAAAUCAUGAAGAAAAAUAAAAGGGUUUGGAUUGCACUGACUUAUAUGUAAUCAUUAGGGCAAAAAAAAUUGACCCUGCAAUUUACAACCAGAAAAUGUAAUAUUUGGUGUGGAAUAUUGACUGUUUUCAUACAGGGUGUUUCAGCGAACACUUUUAAGAAUUUUUUACAGGUUGCCUGUGGCAGAUAGCACAAUUCUAGUUGAUGAGGGUUCCAGUUACCCUUGUGCUUCAAUGCAUAAAACGACAUUUUGUUAAGAAACGAACUGCAAUGCCAAUGCAUUUCUCCGCAAAGUUCGGGAAUUAAUAUCUCGGAAUUGGUGUGAUCCUGAGAAUUCGUUCCAAGUGGAUCCGCGUUGUGAACUCCACGGCUAGAGUUUGUAAAUUGCAAUAUGCCUCAUAAGGGUAUUAGUUAAAAACUUAUUAGUGAGUUUUUGUUAAUUAGUCAAUUAUACAUUUCAAUGUUUUGUGCAAGUAAUGUCUGCCUCUUCGAAUAGACCAGCUCAUGAACUAGAAUUUUGCUAUUUGCCACAGGCAACUUUUAAACAUUUUUGAAAGUGUUCGCUGAAACACCUGGUAUAUCUGUGGAAUAGCAAGUGUGUGUGUGUUUGUGUGGGGGGGGGGGGGGGGCGCUUUCAUAUUAUAGACAAAGAAUCCCUUGUUUAAUGCUCUAAGAUGGGGCUGUUCCACCACCUGCAAAUAUGGUGUCAAUGUCAUGAAUGCUGUGUUUAUUCUUUCUUUUUUAGUGUCAUGUAUUUAUUAUUUAUAUUAUUAUUUCGUUUCAAAUAUUUCAUCUGCUUCCUGUUUUCUAACAUCAGUUGAUGCUCUUUUUGUGCUGCAUGUAUAAAUCUUUCUGUAAUGCAGUAUUACAUAUAUAAGGAAUUUGACUAAGCCUUAUUGAAUGUUGCUUACAGGCAGCGUACCAGAAAACUUCCUUUUUUUUAUUGCUGAGUUUUGGUAUUAAGUAUAAAGUUUCUAGCUAAAUGUCUUCGGCCAACUCUGAAUAACAGGCAGAAAGCGUCAUUUGUUGGUAUAGAGCAGUAGCACACGGCGAGGAAAAAGUUUUGCACCUGACUCACUUUCUAUUGAAAGUAUGCUCGGAGGAGACUUAUCGAUGCAAGAUCUCCGGUUGCAGUGGUGUCACGCACAUGGUGUAAAGCAAAUAAAAUGUGCACCUGUGGUUCUAUGAAGAGAACUGUCUGUACAAAUUCCAAAUGGAGCCAUAGGCCUGGGGUGAAGCCCACUUCCAGUUUUCUGCCUGUGUUUGCGUCUAUUAUUAAGAAUUGUAUACAGAAAUGUAUAGAGAGAAAUCGUGCGAGACAUGUACUGCAUCAGUGCAUUGUUGCCAUGAGAGUAAUAUUUGGGUUGCCAGGCCAAGGUUAUCAAGUGUCUUGCCUUCAAGUGUGGCAACACUUUUUGAUUGCCAGAUGUAGCACUUUAGUUCCAUCAAAUAGAUGCCGCACUGC